ACUGNGGAUAUGUCCACAGAAAGCACAGCUGAUACUCAUCAAGCUGUUAAUGGUUCUCAUGAAUUGAGGAAAACCGUAAUGGUACUGUAAAUGUGGAUUUGCAGCACCAAGAUGGUGAUGUAGAUAGGAAAUUGGAUUCUAAGCCUAGUUUCAAAAGGAACUCGUCGAGCAAUAAGAAGGAUGAGUCUCAGGUUUUAGGGAUGAAACAAAAAUACGAGUUGAUUGAUUUGUCACCAAGAGGAGUGGGGCUUAGCUUGUGAAUUCACUGAGGCAACGAUUGAAUAUUCUUCUUAAUCCUGUUCAGGUUUUUGAGCUGAGCUCAACACAAGGACCGGAGGUGCGUCUUUAUUUAUUCAGAAAGGUGCCGCACUUCAGAGUUCUUGUUUGUGGGGGAGAUGGUACUGUUGGUUGGGUUCUGAAUUCCAUAGAAAAGCAAAACUUUGUGUCUCCUCCUCCAGUUGCUAUUCUACCUGUCGGAACAUGGAAUGAUCUGGCUAGAGUUUUGUCAUGGGAAGGUGGUUUGGGCUCAGUGGAGAGACAAGGAGGCCUUUGCACCAUUUUGCACNACAUACAGCAUGUUGCAGUAACCAUUCUUGAUCGUUGGAAGGUAGCAAUUAUAAAUCAACAGGGGAAAGCAGCUCCAAUCGCCUAAGUUUAUGAACAACUAUCUCGGCCUUCAUGUUGAAGAGGGCUGAUGAGGAGCCACUUGGUCAUGCAGCUGCCAUUAUCACUGAUUCACUGGUGGUGUUGAGAAUGCUGAGACCAACCAUGUAAUAAGUGCAGUGCAGAAGCGAGCUCUUCUUCAAGAAAUGGUGCUGAGGCUGACUUAGAAGUUUCCUCUUGCUGCUUGCUGCUUGGAUUAGUAAUUAAAGUUUUGAUUGUAUCUUCCUUUUCUUUCUUCGAGAAAUAUUCUUUUGGGUGACUUGACACUUUGUUUGGAAAUGCGACUCAAGCCUUGUGCUUAGAAAAGAGUAUAGCCGGGCAGCUAUACUUUUUAAAUUUAUUUGAAUAUUUAAAUAGUAUAGCCGAAAGGCUAUACUUUUUAGGAGUAUAGUGUUUAAGUAUA